GAGGGGUGCAGCAGGCGCGAAACCUUAGCAAUGUGCGAAAGCACGACUGGGUCAGUCCGAGUGAUUCCUGAUAAAGGAGUCUUUUGCCUGUCCUAAAAGCACAGGUGAAUAAGGGGUGGGCAAGUCUGGUGUCAGCCGCCGCGGUAAUACCAGCACCUCGAGUGGUCAGGACGUUUAUUGGGCCUAAAGCAUCCGUAGCCGGCUCUGCAAGUCUUCGGUUAAAUCCACCUGCUCAACAGAUGGGCCGCUGGAGAUACUACAGAGCUAGGGAGUGGGAGAGGCAGACGGUAUUCAGUGGGUAGGGGUAAAAUCCUCUGAUCCAUUGAGGACCACCAGUGGCGAAGGCGGUCUGCCAGAACACGUUCGACGGUGAGGGAUGAAAGCUGGGGGAGCAAACCGGAUUAGAUACCCGGGUAGUCCCAGCUGAAACGAUGCAAACUCGGUGAUGCAUUGGCUUAUGGCCAAUGCAGUGCCGCAGGGAAGCCGUUAAGUU
rnacentral:rRNA from 1 species